rnacentral:rRNA from 1 species
UACAGAGGAUGCAAGCGUUAUCCGGAAUGAUUGGGCGUAAAGAGCUCGUAGGCGGUCAGUCGCGUCUGCUGUGAAAACUCGGGGCUUAACUCCGGGCCUGCAGUGGGUACGGGCUGACUAGAGUGCGGUAGGGGAGACUGGAAUUCCUGGUGUAGCGGUGAAAUGCGCAGAUAUCAGGAGGAACACCGGUGGCGAAGGCGGGUCUCUGGGCCGUAACUGACGCUGAGGAGCGAAAGCGUGGGGAGCGAACAGG